GGCGGGUUCAGUGUUUUACCUGACGGGGUGGAGAGAGGUUGCCUCCUUACCUGUGCUCUCGUUCCUCACCUGUGGUCACCUGUUCUGCAUCUUACAUCUCACGGCAGCACUCACUCUCUCUCUCUCUCCACAAGGUGUGGCGGUGAUAAUGUUGGUAUUGAUUCAGCUGCUGGUGAUACUGGUGGUGAUAGUAUAGAGUUGCUUCUCCCCUGGUAAUCUCUGCUUGCCCGCACCUAGCACUCUUGCACCAACACACGCCGAGCACCGUCCUUUGCGCCAUCUAGUGGGCGGGGUCUCCAUCAGCCGUCGGGUGGACCAGAGUGCGAAGAAGCAAGCAAGUACUCGACCCAGACGGGCGAGCGUCGCUGGUUGUAGUGUUGUGUUCAGCGGUGUCUCGCUGGAGUCAGGUGCUGGGAGAGCUUAUGGCAAGUUGUGGGGCGAGUGUUGGGAUGAAUGACUUACUCAGAGUGAGAACUAAAAGCAGCUGCACCGUGUCUAGACUGGCUACAAGUGAACACCCGGGCGAGUGAGCGCUUAUUGCCUGUAAAGCAAAGGACAUGUAGUAGUCUAGUCCGUGAUGUUGGAUUAAUCAAGCAAUCCAAAACAGCACGUUACUUACCUGCUGCUGCUGCUGCCUCUGAAAAAUAGAAGCUUUCGGUAAAUCCUCUUAAGAGCCUUCGCUAGUUCUUCCCACCAUAAAUUCUACGUUCGACUCUGUGCACCAGGGAACACAAGAGUUGGGAGGUGGUGUCCAGCGGACGCUGGCAAGGGAGAGAGAGAGGAUGUUGGACCUGCAGAGUCUCCUAACAGAGCAGUUGGCGACGCACACCAAUAGGAUGGAGUUCAUCAAGGCGUGUGAUGACCCCUCAAUCACCCCAUCUUCAAGUCAGACCAAAGGCGAAAAUAACACCAUCAUAAGCAGGAAAUCUGGCAAAUGCUUGCUGGACUUACCGGAUCAACCGGGUUGUAAUGGAUACGUGGGCCUGCGGGCAGCUGCUAGCAACAGCCUUACAGAUCAAGCUAUUACCAGAAGAGCUCUGGGAAGCUACAACAGGUAUGAAC